rnacentral:rRNA from 1 species
UACGUAGGGGGCAAGCGUUGUCCGGAUUUAUUGGGCGUAAAGAGCGUGUAGGCGGCCAGGUAGGUCUGCUGUGAAAACUCGAGGCUUAACCUCGAGCUGUCGGUGGAAACCAUCUGGCUAGAGUCCGGAAGAGGAGAAUGGAAUUCCCGGUGUAGCGGUGAAAUGCGCAGAUAUCGGGAAGAACACCCGUGGCGAAGGCGGCUCUCUGGGACGGUACUGACGCUGAGACGCGAAAGCGUGGGGAGCGAACAGG